AAGACAACUCCCCUCACUCGGUGCAGCCCAGGCACGGAGGCUGGGCGCUGGGCAUCGCUUUGCUGGGAGCUCUGCCUGGCACAGAGCUGUGCCCAGGAGCGGGCACCCAUGGGACACAGCGCAGCCCGGAGCCAGCAUGAGACCGCUGGGAGCGCAAUGACACAGCCCGCUGCUGCCUGCUCACAGCGGUUUGUUAGGAGAUGUACUGUGCUCGUGUACACAUUCAGAAAGAAAAAUCCAUUUCUCAUCUUUGUCGAGAUAGGGAGAGAGAGAAAAACCUUUCCUGCAACAAACAAAUGAACAAAAGACAGCAACAUUCAAGGUCACCGCUAAGUAUAACACAAAGAAUAGGAAAGCGAGCCCAAUCGGCAUCGAGUGCCUGUUUAGACACAGCGGUCUGAUGAGCCCAAUUGCCCCUGACCUAUCCCAUUAACACUCUGCAAACGCAGAGCAUACACCUACAGCUCGUGCGUUUGGAAAACCUCGGCAAGGCGGACCUCCCAGCAACACCAGCCAAAGGCUGCAGGAGCAGGCACGCAGCCCAGCAGCACCCCGACUCCAACACAGACACAAGUCAGAGCAGAGGGGACAUCCGUGCCAGAACGGAGGCAAAACAGCUCUAAUUUGGCUUUUCUGAGCUCCCCGUGGUAUGAAGGCACGAAGUAGCAGGAGCCCACAACUUGGAGCUGGGCUGGCACGCUGCGAUCAGGGCACUGCAGGCCACCCGCGUGAUGAAGAAGCGAGAAAAAACGAUCUCAAGAUCACAGUCUGUCAGAAAAAUGAACGCAUUUUAAACGGCGAAGGACGAACGCGGCGCUCGCUGGCGGGGCCCUCCCCUGCUGCCCUGCAGGAGGUGUGUAAGGCACUGAGACAAAGGCUGGGACGCCCAUCCGGACUCCAGGGACAACAGGGAGAUGGUGCCGAAGCUUGGGUGCACUUCCACCACGUAUUUCACAGCCAGGGAGGCGAAGCUGCACCCCCCAGCGCUGGCCCUGCUCAGGUAACAAGUAACGUGGGAAGCAAACCUUGUCGAGAUGGGAUGCAUGGGCAGCAGAGCAGCACACCGCUCCUUGGUUUGCAGCAAAAAAGAGAAAAAGACAAUGCUUGGGAAGAGCUGAGUGUCCCAGCAGCACAGUGGGGCUGGACUGGGCUGGAAAGCAAAGGGGAAAUGCUUCCCGUUACUGUCACAGCAUUGAUGUUUGCAGCCCGUAGAACUAAGCCACGCUGGGUUGGUAAAGAUUGUCUGGGGAGAGCUGGAGGAGGGAGGACUGGGACCAUCGCUCUCUUUAACUGGGCUUGUUGCUUACCUAUGGCUAAAGCCCAUGGCCAUGUCUUCAGCUAUUUCUGA
rnacentral:lncRNA from 1 species